GGGUGGCGGAGGGCGCGUCUGCCAGGAGCCACGACCAGAUGAGGCGGGCGGGUUACAAAACUUCACAGGGGUUCCUGGGGACAGGUAGCACGUAUUGGUCCCGCUGAUCCAUUGUUCGCCUUCCUGGAAAUCUUACCUCGGGCCACAAUUGGAUAGAAGAAAAAGCAAUGCGUUCAGGAACUUUACUUCCCAAAGAUUGGAAAUAACCCAAGUGUUCAACAGGAGGAGAGGCGAGAGUAUGUGAAUUACAACUAUCUCUGUUUACUAGACACUGGGAAUGCACUUUUCAUUCAGUAUCUCAUUUUGUCCUCGAAACAGACCUAGCAGUUCUGGAGGUCAGAAGUCUGAAAUGAGUCUACUAGGUGAAGAUCAAGGUGUUGGCAUGGCUGCAUGUCUUCGGGAGGCUCUGUGGAAGAAUCUGUUUACUUGCCUUUUCCAGCUUCUCGAAGUCAUUAAUGAAUGAGAUCCUUGGAUCUGCAUUUACUACUCCAUCUGAUCCCACGACUGCAUCUGAAUGGUGUAUAUGUCUCUGGACCGUCAAGCACAUACCAGGAGAUAAAGAAUUACAGGUGGUAUUUUCUUUUUUGGCUGUGCCGUGCAGCAUACUGGAUCUUAGUUCCCUGACCAUGGACUGAACCUGUGCCCCAUGCAGUGGAAGCGCGGAGACUUAACCACUGGACCGCCAGGGAAGUUCCCCUACAGGUCGUAUUUUAUAUCAAAUGAUAUUGAGCAGUUUAAACCUACGCGGACCUGAGAUAAGGAUAAUACAGCAUUAUAGCUUAUAGUAAUUAGUGCCAUACCUGACCCAGAAGGGG